rnacentral:rRNA from 1 species
AAUCAACGCUGGCGGCGUGCCUCAGACAUGCAAGUCGAACGAUUAAAGCUCUCUUCGGAGAGUGUAUAGAGUGGCGCACGGGUGAGUAACACGUAAGUAAUCUACCCUCGAGUGGGGAGUAACAACCGGAAACGGUUGCUAAUACCGCAUAAUGCAGCGGCACCGCAAGGUGACAGUUGUUAAAGAUUUAUCGCUUGAGGAGGAGCUUGCGGCAGAUUAGCUAGUUGGUAGGGUAACGGCUUACCAAGGCUACGAUCUGUAACCGGUCUAAGAGGACGGUCGGUCACACUGACACUGAAUAACGGGUCAGACUCCUACGGGAGGCAGCAGUCGGGAAUUUUGGGCAAUGGGCGAAAGCCUGACCCAGCAACGCCGCGUGAAGGAUGAAGUAUUUCGGUAUGUAAACUUCGAAAGAAUAGAAGAAUUAAUGACGGUACUAUUUAUAAGGUCCGGCUAACUACGUGCCAGCAGCCGCGGUAAU